GUGCUAUUCAGUCAGGCACUGAUGGAUCAGGGAGAACGUGACUCCAGGAUGCAGCAGUUGCGGAAGGAAGAGAAACAGUCAUGGGGAAGAUCUUAGGAAAUUCAACUUUGGCUGGAACCAUCAACUUUGCUACAUCGGCCAAUCCAACCAGCUGGGAAUUCUAGUAAUUUUGCUCACUGCCCCCAGACGACUCUAUCCCCUUAUGAAGGAGACAUAUUUGUAACCCACUGAACAGAAAACUGGCCUUUAAAAUAA